rnacentral:rRNA from 1 species
UACGUAGGGGGCAAGCGUUGUCCGGAUUUAUUGGGCGUAAAGAGCGUGUAGGCGGCCAGGUAGGUCAGCUGUGAAAACUCGAGGCUCAACCUCGAGAUGUCGGCUGAAACCAUCUGGCUAGAGUCCGGAAGAGGAGAAUGGAAUUCCCGGUGUAGCGGUGAAAUGCGCAGAUAUCGGGAAGAACACCGGUGGCGAAGGCGGGUCUCUGGGCCGAUACUGACGCUGAGGAGCGAAAGCGUGGGGAGCGAACAGG